CAAGUCGAACGCGAAAGUGGAGCAAUCCAUUAGUAGAGUGGCAAACGGGUGAGUAACGCGUGGGUGACCUGCCUUCGAGUGGGGGAUAACGCUCCGAAAGGGACGCUAAUACCGCAUAACAUCCUGCCUUUUAAGAGGUGGAAAUCAAAGCUUGGGACCGUAAGGCCAGGCGCUUGAAGAGGGGCCCGCGUCUGAUUAGCUAGUUGGUGGGGUAAUGGCUCACCAAGGCUUCGAUCAGUAUCCGGCCUGAGAGGGCGGACGGACACACUGGGACUGAGACACGGCCCAGACUCCUACGGGAGGCAGCAGUGGGGAAUUGUUCGCAAUGGGCGCAAGCCUGACGACGCAACGCCGCGUGGAGGAUGAAGAUCUUCGGGUCGUAAACUCCUUUCGAUCGAGACGAAUGGCCUCUGGGUGAACAAUCCAGAGGAGUGACGGUACCGAGAGAAGAAGCCCCGGCUAACUCCGUGCCAGCAGCCGCGGUAAUACGGGGGGGGCAAGCGUUGUUCGGAAUUACUGGGCGUAAAGGGCUCGUAGGUGGCCAUCUAAGUCAGACGUGAAAUCCCUCGGCUUAACCGGGGAACUGCAUCUGAUACUGGAUGGCUUGAGUUUGGGAGAGGGACGCGGAAUUCCAGGUGUAGCGGUGAAAUGCGUAGAUAUCUGGAGGAACACCGGUGGCGAAGGCGGCGUCCUGGACCAACACUGACACUGAUGAGCGAAAGCCAGGGGAGCAAACGGGAUUAGAUACCCCGGUAGUCCUGGCCCUAAACGAUGAAUGCUUGGUGUGGCGGGUAUCGAUCCCUGCCGUGCCGAAGCUAACGCAUUAAGCAUUCCGCCUGGGGAGUACGGUCGCAAGGCUGAAACUCAAGGAAUUGACGGGGGCCCCGCACAGGCGGUGGAGCAUGUGGUUCAAUUCGAC
rnacentral:rRNA from 1 species